GGCCUCCUAGCUCAGCUGGUACAGCGUGUGCGUAUGAAGCGUAGGCGGCGUCCAUGCGUGGGUUCGAAUCCCACCGGGACUA
rnacentral:tRNA from 1 species